CGCGGGGUUGACCAGUGGCGAGGUCGCAUGGCCCAUAACCAUGUAUCCGAAAGGACACCGUGGGUUCGAAUCCCACCCCCGCAA
rnacentral:tRNA from 1 species